rnacentral:rRNA from 1 species
UACGAAGGGGGCUAGCGUUGUUCGGAAUUACUGGGCGUAAAGCGUGCGUAGGUGGUUCGUUAAGUCUGAUGUGAAAGCCCUGGGCUCAACCUGGGAAUGGCAUUGGAAACUGGCGACCUAGAGUGCGGUAGAGGAGAGUGGAAUUCCCGGUGUAGCAGUGAAAUGCGUAGAGAUCGGGAGGAACAUCAGUGCGAAGGCGGCUCUCUGGACCAGCACUGACACUGAGGCACGAAAGCGUGGGGAGCAAACAGG